GACGAACGCUGGCGGCGUGCUUAACACAUGCAAGUCGAACGCUGAAGCCUAGCUUGCUGGGUGGAUGAGUGGCGAACGGGUGAGUAACACGUGAGUAACCUGCCCUCUUCUUUGGGAUAACGCCCGGAAACGGGUGCUAAUACUGGAUAUUCACUGAUCUUCGCAUGGGGGUUGGUGGAAAGGUUUUUUCUGGUGGGGGAUGGGCUCGCGGCCUAUCAGCUUGUUGGUGGGGUGAUGGCCUACCAAGGCUUUGACGGGUAGCCGGCCUGAGAGGGUGACCGGUCACAUUGGGACUGAGAUACGGCCCAGACUCCUACGGGAGGCAGCAGUGGGGAAUAUUGCACAAUGGGCGAAAGCCUGAUGCAGCGACGCCGCGUGAGGGAUGGAGGCCUUCGGGUUGUAAACCUCUUUCGCUCAUGGUCAAGCCGCAGCUUUGGGUUGUGGUGAGGGUAGUGGGUAAAGAAGCGCCGGCUAACUACGUGCCAGCAGCCGCGGUAAUACGUAGGGCGCGAGCGUUGUCCGGAAUUAUUGGGCGUAAAGGGCUUGUAGGCGGUUGGUCGCGUCUGCCGUGAAAAUCCUCUGGCUUAACUGGGGGCGUGCGGUGGGUACGGGGUGACUUUGAGUGUAGUAGGGGAGACUGGAACUUCCUGGGGUGGCGGUGGAAAGCGCAC
rnacentral:rRNA from 1 species